rnacentral:rRNA from 1 species
AAACAUGUCUUUUUGAGUUAAUUUUAAAGUCUAACCUGCCCACUGAAUAAUUUUAAAUGGCCGCAGUAUUUUGACUGUGCAAAGGUAGCAUAAUCAUUAGUCUUUUAAUUGGAGGCUGGUAUGAAUGGUUGGACGAGGUAUAAACUGUUUCAUAUAAAUUUAUUAUAGAAUUUUAUAUUUUAGUAAAAAAGCUAAAAUUUUAUUAAAAGACGAGAAGACCCUAUAAAUCUUUAUAUUUAAUUUUAUUUUAAUUUUUUAGAUUUAUUUUAUUAUUAUUAUAUUAAAUAUUUUAUUGGGGUGAUGUUAAAAUUUAAUAAACUUUUAAUUAUUUAAAAUCAUUAAUUUAUGAUUUAUUGAUCCGAUAAUAUUGAUUAUAAGAUUAAGUUACUUUAGGGAUAACAGCGUAAUUUUUUUUGAGAGUUCAUAUCGAUAAAAAAGUUUGCGACCUCGAUGUUGGAUUAAGAUAUAAUUUUGGGUGUAGCUGUUCAAAUGUUAAGUCUGUUCGACUUUUAAAUUCUUACAUGAUC